UGAGCAACCUGCCCUUAGCUUUGGGAUAACCCUCGGGAAACGGGGGCUAAUACCGAAUGUUCACUGCCGGGCGCAUGUUUGGUGGUGGAAAGUUUUUCGGCUGGGGAUGGGCUCGCGGCCUAUCAGCUUGUUGGUGGGGUGAUGGCCUACCAAGGCGAUGACGGGUAGCCGGCCUGAGAGGGCGACCGGCCACACUGGGACUGAGACACGGCCCAGACUCCUACGGGAGGCA
rnacentral:rRNA from 1 species